AGAUAUGAAUACGACCCUACCGUGACAUUGGUUACCCUAUUGAUUGACAGGGUCUAGUCAGCUGAUCUGCUAGGGAGGUAGGUGUCCCUUCUCUCCCUCAUUGCUGCAUGUACAUGCUUCCUGAAGCUCCUUGGUUGGUUGAAGAGGACAGCAAGACCUCCUCAACAGAGGGGGCCAUUCUUGAAUUAAAAAUAUACCAUCUGCUGUGCUCUUCUGGAAGAAUCCCCAAAGAUGCUCUCAAAGAGAUGGUAGCAUGAAUCCCAGGGCAGAAAGUCCAAGGCCCCCAGACCCAUUUAGGGGGUUUUACUU
rnacentral:snRNA from 1 species